rnacentral:rRNA from 1 species
UACGUAGGGGGCAAGCGUUGUCCGGAAUUACUGGGCGUAAAGCGCACGUAGGCGGCUUUGUAAGUUAGAGGUGAAAGCCCGGAGCUCAACUCCGGAAUUGCCUUUAAGACUGCAUCGCUAGAAUUGUGGAGAGGUAAGUGGAAUUCCGAGUGUAGAGGUGAAAUUCGUAGAUAUUCGGAAGAACACCAGUGGCGAAGGCGACUUACUGGACACAUAUUGACGCUGAGGUGCGAAAGCGUGGGGAGCAAACAGG